UCACUACUUGCUUACUAUCCCAUUUUUCAUUAAGUUAGAAAGACACUUUCUUAACUGAAUAAUAGCUAGUUUGUUUCUUUUUGAUCAGAUUCAUAAAAACACACAGAAUGGACUGAAUCUGAAAUUGUACCAUCGAUGACAACAUCUGAGCAAACUGGAAAUCUCUGCAAGAAAUUUAUGAGCUACUUACUAUUCUUUCCAAUUUUUUAUCUGAUUCCUCUGCAGGUGAUAGAAGGUAUCCCAAGGAUAACACAAU